GACGGAAGGUGCAAGCGUUGCUCGGAAUCACUGGGCGUAAAGGGUGCGUAGGCGGCUUGGUGGGUCUGGUGUGAAAGCCCCGGGCUCAGCCCGGGAAGGGCGCUAGAAACUGCCGAGCUCGAGUGCCGGAGGGGAGAGUGGAAUUCCUGGUGUAGCGGUGAAAUGCGCAGAUAUCAGGAGGAACACCUAUUGCGAAGGCAGCUCGCUGGGACGUAACUGACGCUGAGACGCGAAAGCGUGGGGAGCGAACAGG
rnacentral:rRNA from 1 species